GGAGGAUAAAGCGAUCUGGUGGCGCUCGCGGACUUCAAAUCCGAUGACGGGGUGGUUGACCAUCCUGUGGGGAGUUCGAUUCUCUCAUCCUCUCGCCA
rnacentral:tRNA from 1 species